rnacentral:rRNA from 1 species
GUCUACAGCCAUGCCACCCUGAACAAGCCCAAUCCCGUUUGAUCGUGGACGCUAAGAAAGGUUGGGCCUCGUUAGUACUUGGAUAGGAGACCACCUAGGAAGACCAGGUACUGUAGGCG